rnacentral:lncRNA from 1 species
AUAACUUCAUCUCCUCAUCCUCGACGUUCCUGUAUCUUCAGCUUGUCGAGACGAGGUCAGGUGAGGGAGAAUCUAAGAGGAGGAGUUUCUAAGUUUUCCGGUCGUGUUCUUCGUUUUCCGGCGGCGAUUGGUUUCGAUCAAGGUAUGAAACUUUGUCCAUUUUUCGAGCUCUACCUCUGUAUAUGCAUGGAAUUGAGUUUGGUUGCGUUUUGGCGAUUUUGGGAUUUUAGGCAGUGGAGGACCACCGUCUGUGGCCACUGUUCACGGCAGCGGCGGUAGUUGUAGGAGUUGCUUUCUGGCUUUAGUUAGUAUAUUGAAUAGAUAUAUGUGAUUGUAGAUGCUUGAAUUCAAGAUUGGAGGAAUCGUUGAUUUUGGGUCUCUGCUCAUUUCGGGUUUACUGUUUGUGUUGGUGAUUUCUGUGUUCUUGUUCCAUUUCCAAUCAUAUGAAAGUGCAAGAACAUGAAUUGGUGUUGUUAAUGCUAGUGAUUAGUUGUUGGUUAAUAUUGAAGUGAAGGAAGACUGCACAAAUUGUUAUUGUUAUUGUUUGAUGAUUUUGGGUUUGAAUGAGUAUUGAGAUUGGAAAGAGUUUCUUUAUGAUGGAGCUUAUUUGCUGAAGUUGAGUUGAGGCUUGUCUGCAAAAUGGUUGAGCUGAUGUUGGUGUUGUUACAUGUUUGCUUUAAAGUCAGGGAAGAUUGGAUGUUAGAUUAUAGGAAAGUUGAAGAAGAUCAUUUGGUUCAAGUUUGGGUGUAGAGAGUAAUUUCGGAUACUAUGAUUAAAUUCCAUUUGAAGUUGAAUUGGUGUUUGUAGUGGAAUUGGGUCAUGGUAGCUCAAUCGACUUUAAAGGGGUUGGAGAAAACGAGUAAAUGCAAGAGUUGGACAGUUUGAGAAAAGUAUGUAGAAAACGGCAAAAAAGGAUUUGGGUGUCCUUAGUAGUUUUGAGAACAUGGUCUUAUCAAUUUGAAGUGGAUAUUGGAGUGUUAUGUAUGGAUUCGGGAUUGGAUUUAGUUGAAUGGGUGUCCAUAGUAUAUCUAAUGGGUGUUCUUAGUAAAUCUAUUUAGAAUGUUUUAGUAAACUUGGGACUUUAUAUUAUUCUCCUGGAACUUUAUAUUAGAAUGAUAAUAAAUUGUUAUAGUUUUGAUGAUGCAUGAGGCUUUGUAUGGCCGGAUUGAUUUGAUUUAAUGGAUAUAAAAGAAAACAUAUUAAAUUUUGGUGUGUAUCAUGAAAUAGUUCUUGGGAGGCCGUAAGUAGGGUUUUGAUUUUGGAUUUAUAGUGGUAAAUGUGAUGUUGUUAGUGUAGGUAGAGAAGUAGAUUAAAAAUGCUGAACUACGAGCGGCUUGAUCCCUUUAAAAGGGUACGUAGGCAGCCCAACCAAGUUUUGGGUGAAGCCGAAAAUUAACAAAAUAAAUUUUAGGUUCCAAACGCGACAAAAAUGUUUGUCGUUUUGUUUGAUCAUGAGAUCCUAUCUCAUUUUCGAAUUAGGAUUUCCUUAUUUAUUUUAUUCGUUUAUAUUUUUAACACCUAGGUCAGGGUGUUACAGCGCGUCCGGGCAGUGUGGGGGCUUUGGUUGCCGUGUUAGCUAGUCCUUGUUAGUUACUAGUGUGUUGUUGUGUGUGAAGGUUAAGUGUUGUUUUGGUUUUGGUAGCUUAGGUGCUAUGUUGUUCUUGGUGUUCCUUUUUGGUCAUAAUUUUGAAAGUUGAUCUUGGAGGUAGUUUGGUUGGUUGGUUGGUUAAGUGUCCAAUGACCUUGGGAGGUCUUGGAGGAAAGAUUGCCCUUCUUUGGGCAACCUUUAGGUUAAGGGUAUUUGUUCCUUGUUGAGAAUUUUCUAAGGUUUUUAAUUGUGUAAUUUUAGGUGUUUUGUGAAGUUGUGAUUUGGCUUGCUCUUGUUGUUUUGUGGAAGACGUAGCGGGAGUAUUAGGUGAGUAAAUCUCACCAAGGUUCACAUUUGGACCAAAUUUUUAUAGUCACUUUAAUGAUUAUGAUGAUGACAAUGAUUAUGAUGAUAAAAUGAUGGUAAUGAUGAUUAUGAUGAUUAUAAUUUAAAAAUUAUGUUUUUGUUUGUUUUAAAAUAUAUAAGCUUGAUCGCCAACGGCUCAUAGGUAAGUUAAAACAAGUAUUCCUAUUAUAUGAUUGUUUUUAAGGUUCAUGUGAUCAUAAUGUUUUUGGCUAUUGAUAGAUUAUUCUUGUGGGAAUAGCUAUGUUUGUUCAUAUAAAUAUAUCCAUGUGGAAGGAUAUAAUUUUUAUGAUGUGCUCCUUGUGUUGAUUGUUGAUGAUUUUAUUAUAUUGUGAUUUGUGGUUUAGAUAGUCAAACCGGGUUCCAAGCCUUUAAUCGGGUGAUUGGUUACGGUUAUGAUGCUAUUAUUAUUUUGUGAUGUGAUAUUGGAUAGUCAAACUGGGUUCUAAGCCUUUAGCCGGGUGAUUGGUUACGGUUAGAAAUAGAGCUCUAGUCUGUCUGUCGGUGUAGGUCAUGGGAGGUACCUGAAGGUAUCUGGGACUCAUGGGUACAUAAAUUGUUGUUGUAGGUCAUGAGAGGUAUUUAUUAAUAUCUAAGACUCAUAGGUACAUAUGUUUGUUGUAGGUCAUGGGAGAUACCUUACUGGUAUCUGGGACUCAUGGGUACAUGUAUAUUUGUAAAAGUAUUGGUUAUGUGGUUUUAACAUUGUUCUUAAUUGUUGUCAAUUAAAUUCUUUGUUUUGAGUAUCUCUUGAACUAUAUAUGCUUAAUGCAGGAAAUUUUCAAUCUUAUUUGUGUGAUUUUUAGUGGAAUUCCUGAACUAUCAUUUUUGCAGGAUUCAUUUAUGAUUUUGAUUGUUUUGGAAAUUGUUGUGUUUUCUUAUUUACUCUCUUUUGAUUAUUCUUGAUUGAGGGGAUUUCUGAACUAAGUUCUAAAGCAGGAAUUACCGGUUUAUCUUAUGUGAUGUUGGAUUGAGUUAUUUUUGGGAGUUACUCGUACGGACUUUUUAGCUUACCGGGUUUGUUGUUUACAACCCGGUGCAUAAUUCAUGGUGUAAUGGUUAGACAUGCAGGUGAUAAUCAGCAGGGUUGAGGCAGAGUCAUAGUAGCUGGGUUUUAGAUGAUGUACAUUUUAUUGUAUACUAUUCAGUUUGUUUUUAAGCGCAUGUGAGCGUCCUUAUUUUCUUAGACUUUUGAAGUUAAUGUAAUUAAGGAGAUGUAAUGUAUAACUCAGUGAUGUGUUUUGUUGAUAUUUAUAUUUCCAGCUUUUGGGUUUAGUUUGGGAUUGUUGAGCAGAUAUUGAAGUCUUAUUUUUAAGUUAUAUCAUGCCCAAAUUUUUUAAAAUUAUCCUUCGAAAAUUGGGGUGUGACACUCUCUUCCUCUUUUUUAUCUUGAUUCUGAUUCGUUUGUCAUUAGUUUAUCUACUUUAAUUUUCGGGAGAGUUUGUAUUAUGUAUGUUGUUGUUUCAUGCGUUUGUAUUGUUUGUUUGUUAAGGACUUUUUUGAAUACUCCAAUCAUGCUUGACCAAGCUUGAGAUAAAUUCAUCACUCCUUUCUAUCAGACUUUUGUUGAAAAUUUCAUUGAUGUAUCCCUUGAAACCCACUUUUCGACAUUAAAGACCCUUGAGUUUUAUCUUUGCUUCCCUUAUGUUGCAUAACCCCUCCAUUGAUGCAUCCCUUGAAACUCACCCUUUCGACAUUGAAGAACCUUGAGCUUUAUCUGCUUCCCCUAUGUUGCAUAACCUUUCCAUUGAUGUAUCUCUUGAAACCCACCCUUCCACAUUAAAGAACCUAGAGCUUUGUCUUUGUUUCCCAUGUGUUGCACAACCUUUCAUAAUCCAUCAAUAUCACAUGAAAUCUCAAAGUGCCAACAAUCGACAAUGCAUCUUCCCAAUCUACAGCAUGAGCAACUUCCACAACUUCAUGUAUUAUUUCUCAAUCCAAAUAUCAUCUCAUCCCUAAAGUCACCAGUAUUCUUACCACCCCAGCAACAUCAUCUUAGAAUCUUUGCUAAGUCGUAUUAUGACGCUCAAUAAGUGAGCGAGAAUAUGUCUAAUGAGUGGUUCUAUCCUAUGUACUAGUGUGACUGUCCCUCACAACUUCUUAACUUUUUGAAAAAGGUAGCGCAAGAGUAAGUUAAGGUUGCUCUGGCCCGAGUUUUUAAUAUAUAAAAUAUAUUGAUUUGCCUUCAAAAAAGACCUAGAUAA